rnacentral:rRNA from 1 species
CCUACGGGAGGCAGCAGUGGGGAAUAUUGCACAAUGGGGGGAACCCUGAUGCAGCGACGCCGCGUGGGUGAAGGAGUAUUUCGGUAUGUAAAGCCCUAUCAGCAGGGAAGAACAAUGACGGUACCUGACUAAGAAGCACCGGCUAAAUACGUGCCAGCAGCCGCGGUAAUACGUAUGGUGCAAGCGUUAUCCGGAUUUACUGGGUGUAAAGGGAGCGUAGACGGUGGUGUAAGUCUGGAGUGAAAGGCGGGGGCCCAACCCCCGGACUGCUCUGGAAACUAUGUGACUGGAGUGCAGGAGAGGUGAGGGGAAUUCCUAGUGUAGCGGUGAAAUGCAUAGAUAUUAGGAGGAACACCAGUGGCGAAGGCGGCUCACUGGACUGUAACUGACGUUGAGGCUCGAAAGCGUGGGGAGCAAACAGGAUUAGAUACCCGAGUAGUC